rnacentral:rRNA from 1 species
GGAGGGUGCAAGCGUUGUCGGAAUUAUUGGGCGUAAAGCGCGUGCAGGCGGUUGGGUAAGUCAGAUGUGAAAGCCUUCCGCUCAACCUGGGAAGUGCAUUUGAAACUACUUGACUUGAGUACGGGAGAGGACGGGGGAAUUCCCGGUGUAGAGGUGAAAUUCGUAGAUAUCGGGAGGAAUACCGGCGGCGAAGGCGGCCCCCUGGACCAACACUGACACUGAGGUGCGAAAGCGUGGGUAGCAAACAGGAUUAGAUACCCUGGUAGUCCACGCCGUAAACGAUGUCAACUAGCCGUUGGAUCCGCUUUAAGGGUUUAGUGGCGCAGCUAACGCGAUAAGUUGACCGCCUGGGGAGUACGGCCGCAAGGUUA